rnacentral:snRNA from 1 species
CCAGCAAUAUAUGGCUGUACAACUUGUUCUAUUAUAUGUACAGAAGAUUAGUAUGGCCUCUGUACAAGGAUGACAUGCAAAUUCGUGAAGCGUUCCAUAUUUUU